GUUCCUAAUCCGGCCUGGGCAUGGACAGAGGAAGGAAGAGAAGCAGGUGAGGGAGGUGGCAACAGGGCACGGAAUGGAAGCAGAUAGGCGGAUGGGAGGCAGAGUCCGGGAAAAGGGAACCUGGAGUGAUGUGUAUGUCGGUAUUAUCUGACAAAGUCAUGAAUGAAGCUAUUGUGAAGUUGCUUCAAGAGUGACAGCAAACCCUGCUGACAUGAGUGGAGGGACAGGAAGUCUCAGUCAGACGUGUGAGACAAGAAGAAAACAUGGAAAUCCUACAACUUUAUUCAAGCUCACAUGGCACUUGCUGUAAUAAUAGGAGAAACAUGAGGAGGAGCGUUCCAGAGCUCUACGGGGAAUCAAGAGCCUUGGUUCAGCAGCCCUGAGGAAUUUCUGGGACACAUGAGGAAAUGAUCAAAUCCUUGAUGAAGCAGGAGAAUCUACAGCACCAUGCAGGCUAAAAAGGACGUUUCCCAAGAGAACUUAUGGAAAAGCACUGGCAGGCUGGAGAUAGUCAGGGCAGGCUCACUAAUUAGAAGGCGGUCUGGCAGAUGGGCCCCUAGUACCUUCAGAGUGGUUGGCUCCAAGACUUGCCCUGGGCACAACUCCAUGAGAAGAUGCUCCUGAUAAAAGCUUGAGGCACCUCACUUUUCUUAGCUCAUGCCUUAGAAUCGAAGAUGAGAGUAGGAUCACGUGCCAGGUAAGGCCCAACUGUCACCAGGUGGCCAAAGUCUCUGCACCCCAAAGUGCACAAACUCCUUACACACUCCAGAAAAGGCCUUAACCCUCUUUUUGUGUGGGCCCCUGUAAUUACAAUCCACAACUGUGUGUGCUUAGGUCUCUGCUAAAUUGCUGAAGCUGGCCUCUAAUUUGCAAUCCUCCUGUGUCAGCCUCCCAAGUCACUGGGAUUGCAGGCAUGCACCAAUGCUUCUGGCUUGACAUUUUUUGAUAUCUUCUAAGUUUUGUCCACUAGUCUCUUCUCUCUUCUUUUCUCUCUCUCUCUCUCUCUCUCUCUCUCUCUCUCUCUCUCUCUCUCUCUCUCUCUCUCCCGCUCUGGCUCAAAGCAGUUUAUUUGCAGAGGAAACAGAGAUGUUUGUCCCUGAAGUUUCCUGCUGUCCACAUUUUGCUGACUACACUCAGCAUUGACCUUGAGGUCAUUUGCCUAAAUUCCCUGUCUGCUGUGUUUCCUGUAAAUUGGUAGUUUGAUUUUAUUUUUUGUAUGCUUGCUCACUUUUGUUUAUUUUUGGUUCUUUCCUCUAUUACUCCUUGUGAUUUU